rnacentral:lncRNA from 1 species
UCCCAAUCUUUCUCAUGCUUAAGGAUUUGUUCUCUUAGACAUUGGCUGUUUAAUUUAAUAGUGGUUUUCAAGAUGUUGCUUCAAAACACAAGAACUGUCUAAUUUACCUGAGCUCAAGAUAAUUUGUAAUCUGCAGUACCUCUUUCAAUAGUAGAAGAGACUAAAAGGAUGCUAUGCUAUAGGUGACAUUAAUUUUAGUUAGGAAAUAUAGGCACAGCAGUGACUGCACAAAGAAUAAAGGUAGAUUUUAUAUGGGACUAGUGGAAUUCACUUAGACACUUAUUCAAAUUUUUCAUUCUAAUGUUUUUCAAUAGCUUUUUAUCCAUAGACCUUUUGUUUGUUCUGUUUCAUUGGAACGUCUGACUUCUCAUAGUUGAUUGUAGACCUUUCUCUACUUCAGAUACACAAGUGUGUAUGUGUGUCAUAUCUAAUUAUAUAGUUAUAUAAAUAUAUACAUAUUCAUACAUGAUAAAAUAUAUGUCAAAAUUGAAUUUCUCUUUCAGAAAAGCAAAUAUUCCUAGUAAGAUAUUUCUGGCUAUAUUCAUGAAUCAAAUCUUAUUUAAAUGUCAAUGUGUUAGAGUCCCAGCAUCCCACUCACUUCUAUUUUAUAUUUAUAACUCACUUGUAGUGAGUUCUGUAAUUCACUACAAGUUCAAGAAGAUUAAGAAGUAUCAAGUGCUGAUGUGAUACUCACUAGUGUGCAUGUGCUGCUCUAACUGCCUUACAUAUUUAUAAUUGGCCCAUCUUCACUGCAACUCUGUGGGGCAGCUUCUCCUACUGUUUUCACUUGAUUGAUGAUGAACGAACUGUACACAACACAGGGCUAAUAGCUAGUCUUAGAAAAUAUUAGGAUUGGAUUCUAGACAGUCUUCGUCUCAGUAAGUAAAAUAAUAGAUGUAAAAUUAAAUUUGGACCAUCGCUACCAAGAGCUUUUCCACAAAUGUUAUUUUUUUCUCUGUACUUGGUAUCAAUUUCUCCCUGUUCUUAUUUUACAUCCCUAAAAUAUUCAUUUUUUAAAAUUUCAUGUAAGCAUAGAGAAUAGAAAGAAAAAUAUUUAGUAGUACACUUAAAAUUAGUAUGUUACAUAGCUUCAGUCUUAAUAUGAAAACUAUCAAUGGUAAAAUCACAAAUUUUAUUUUUGUAUUCUUUGUAGCAUUACAAAAAGAGCUUUAAUAUUUUGUAUUUUUUUACUGCCUUGUUUUGACUUUUUUUUUUUUUAGCUAAGCCAACUUAUUAGCAUUCAGAUUUUUUAAAUUAGCAAACUACUUCUUGAUAGAAUGGCUGAAAAAUUCUCAUUAACUAUGCUAUUAAAUAUUUUGUCAUGCCUUCUGACAGCAGAAAUAUUAGACACCUAAAAGUAGCUUAAGUGUUUUUCACAUGUUAAAAUAAGAAUAAAAAUGAAGGAUAUAAAGAAAACUCUUUAGUUAC